UACGUAGGGGCCUAGCGUUGUCCGGAUUUAUUGGGCGUAAAGAGCUCGUAGGCGGUUCGGUAAGUCAGGUGUGAAAUCUCCACGCUCAACGUGGAGGGGCCACCUGAUACUGCCGUGACUCGAGUCCGGUAGGGGAGUGUGGAAUUCCCGGUGUAGCGGUGAAAUGCGUAGAGAUGUGGAGGAACACCAAUGGCGAAGGCAGCCUUCUGGGCCAACACUGACGCUCAUGCACGAAAGCGUGGGGAGCAAACAGG
rnacentral:rRNA from 1 species